AACGAACGCUGGCGGCAUGCCUAACACAUGCAAGUCGAACGAGACCUCCGGGACUAGUGGCGCACGGGUGCGGAACGUGUGGGAAGCUACCCUCAGGCACGGAAUAACACAGUGACAUGUGAGCUAAUACCGGGUGACGUCGUAAGAUACAAGAUUUAGCGUCUGAGGAUGAGCCCGCGUAGGAUGAGGUAGUUGGGGAGGUAAAGGCCCACCAAGCCGACGAUCCUUAGCUGGGCAGAGAGGACGCUAAGCCACACUGGGCGUGAGACACGGCCCGGACUCCUUCGGGAGGCAGCAGUGGGCAAUAUUGGACAAUCGGCGAGAGCCAGGUCCAGCAUUGCCGCGUGAGUGCUGAAUGCCUUAGGGUUGUAGAGCUCUUUUACCCCGGAUGAUAAUGACAGUUCCGGGAGGAUAAGCUCCGGCUAACUCCGUU
rnacentral:rRNA from 1 species